CCUACGGGAGGCAGUAGUCGAGAAUCUUCCGCAAUGGACGAAAGUCUGACGGAGCGACGCCGCGUGCGGGAUGAAGGCCCUUGGGUUGUAAACCGCUGUCAGAGGGGAUGAAAUCUUCGGAGGUACUCCUCCGAAGUUGACAAAGCCUCAAAGGAAGCACGGGCUAAGUACGUGCCAGCAGCCGCGGUAACACGUACUGUGCGAACGUUAUUCGGAAUCACUGGGCUUAAAGGGUGCGUAGGCGGCGAUUCAAGUCAGAUGUGAAAUGCCUGAGCUCAACUGAGGCAUUGCGUUUGAAACUGAAUUGCUAGAGUAUUUCAGGGGUGUGCGGAACUGCCAGUGGAACGGUGAAAUGUGUUGAUAUUGGCAGGAACACCGGAGGCGAAAGCGGCACACUGGGGAAUAACUGACGCUGAGGCACGAAAGCCAAGGGAGCGAACGGGAUUAGAUACCCCGGGUAGUCUUGGCCGUAAACGAUGAGUACGUGGGGCGGGUACGGGGGUUUACCCGGUUUCCGUUCGUCCGGUACGGUACGGAAACGGUACGGUUAACGGUUAACCGUCCCGUCCGUCGGGGUAGGUAGUGGUUCGGUCGAGGACGUGAACGUACAAGUAGAAGUUAGUACGGCGUGAGACGUCGCCGACGGACGACGACGAGGGAGGAGG
rnacentral:rRNA from 1 species